rnacentral:rRNA from 1 species
UACAGAGGUCUCAAGCGUUGUUCGGAUUCAUUGGGCGUAAAGGGUGCGUAGGCGGCGCGGUAAGUCGUGUGUGAAAUCUCGGAGCUUAACUCCGAAACUGCAUUCGAUACUGCCGUGCUUAGGACUGGAGAGGAGACUGUAAUUUACGGUGUAGCGGUGAAAUGCGUAGAUAUCGUAAGGAAGACCAGUGGCGAAGGCGGGUCUCUGGACAGUUCCUGACGCUGAGGCACGAAGGCCAGGGGAGCAAACGGG